CAAGUCGAGCGCGCAGCCACUGGUAGCAAUACCGGUGGUGGGCGAGCGGCGAACGGGUGCGUAACACGUGGGCAACCUGCCCCAGACUCUGGGAUAACCCCGGGAAACCGGGGCUAAUACCGGAUACUCUCGGCCGGCCGCAUGAUCGGCCGAGGAAAGCUCCGACGGUCUGGGAUGGGCCCGCGGCCUAUCAGCUUGUUGGUGGGGUAACGGCCUACCAAGGCGACGACGGGUAGCUGGUCUGAGAGGACGGCCAGCCACACUGGGACUGAGAUACGGCCCAGACUCCUACGGGAGGCAGCAGUGGGGAAUCUUGCGCAAUGGGCGAAAGCCUGACGCAGCGACGCCGCGUGAGGGAUGAAGGCCUUCGGGUUGUAAACCUCUUUCGGCAGGGACGAAGCGAAAGUGACGGUACCUGCAGAAGAAGCCCCGGCUAACUACGUGCCAGCAGCCGCGGUAAGACGUAGGGGGCGAGCGUUGUCCGGAUUUAUUGGGCGUAAAGCGCGCGUAGGCGGCCGCGCAAGUCGGAUGUGAAAACCCGGGGCUCAACCCCGGGCGUGCAUUCAAUACUGCGCGGCUCGAGACAGGUAGGGGAGAUCGGAAUUCCUGGUGUAGCGGUGAAAUGCGCAGAUAUCAGGAGGAACACCGGUGGCGAAGGCGGAUCUCUGGGCCUGUUCUGACGCUGAGGCGCGAAAGCUAGGGGAGCGAACAGGAUUAGAUACCCUGGUAGUCCUAGCCGUAAACGUUGGGUGCUAGGUGUGGGGGGAUAUCGACCCCUUCCGUGCCGAAGCUAACGCAUUAAGCACCCCG
rnacentral:rRNA from 1 species